rnacentral:RNase_P_RNA from 1 species
GAGAGGGAGAGUGCGGCUGACGGUGGCCGGGAGACCGGCCGCUGAGGAAAGUCCCCCCACCACCUGGGCACGCAGCCAUACGCAAGUAUGGGUGGCGAGAGUCACGGCACUGGCACAGAAACGACACGGCCUGCCCCGAGCGAUGAUACGGCCGAGCCCUCACGGGCGAGACGUGCGGCAACGCACAAGAUAACCCGCUGAGCCGACGGGCAGGAUGCGAUGAAACGGCGAAUCCCUGCGGGUGCAAGCCAGAACAGGGUAUUGUGGCUGCUCAGGCACGACUACCCGGGUAUGGCGCCAAGCUGAAUGCCGCACCGAACAGAAGGGGGCUUACUCCUCCCACUC